GAUGAACGCUGGCGGCGUGCCUAAUACAUGCAAGUCGAGCGAACAGACGAGGAGCUUACUCCUCUGACGUUAGCGGCGGACGGGUGAGUAACACGUGGAUAACCUACCUAUAAGACUGGGAUAACUUCGGGAAACCGGAGCUAAUACCGGAUAACAUGUUGAACCGCAUGGUUCAACAGUGAAAGACGGUCUUGCUGUCACUUAUAGAUGGAUCCGCGUCGCAUUAGCUAGUUGGUAAGGUAACGGCUUACCAAGGCAACGAUGCGUAGCCGACCUGAGAGGGUGAUCGGCCACACUGGAACUGAGACACGGUCCAGACUCCUACGGGAGGCAGCAGUAGGGAAUCUUCCGCAAUGGGCGAAAGCCUGACGGAGCAACGCCGCGUGAGUGAAGAAGGUCUUCGGAUCGUAAAACUCUGUUAUUAGGGAAGAACAAAUGUGUAAGUAACUAUGCACGUCUUGUCGGUACCUAAUCAGAAAGCCACGGCUAACUACGU
rnacentral:rRNA from 1 species